CCCCCCGCCGGGCCUCAUGGGGAGAAGAUGGGAGGAGAGAGCUCAGCCUAAAGCCGAUGAGCUGAGCCGAGCCGAAGGGGACCGCUCCAUCCUUCCUGCCACACCGGCAAAAAUAAUGUAACCGGAGGAGCCGCCAAGCUGAGCCGCCCGCCAGCGCGCGCAGCCUGCAGCCCGCGCCGGCUCCUGCGCCUCGUCCUCUUCCCCCCACUUUGCCUCCUGCAAGAUUAAGCCUUUAAUGUGCAAUCUCGACUCCCGGCAACUCUUGUCAAUAAAUGAGCCGUGGCAUGGUGCCAGCGCGUCGCGUAGGACCCGAGGUGCUGCAACCCAAAGUAGGUCAGUAAGUUGUUUCUCCCCAGCCUGGUUGUCGUUGCGCAUGAGCAUCGCGGCGACGGGGGCCGAGGCCAAGCAGAGGCAAGAGGCGAGAGCCCGACUCUGGAGGCCAGGGCUCGACGGGGAAGUCACAAUGCCAGGGGCAGAUGUGCCCCUCGGCUGGGCUCGGCUCUGUCCAUCUUCCCAAGCGAUGCCUCACGGGAUGCUGGGACACGGGGCUCUGCCGCAGCAUCCCCAGCCGGCUCCGACUCGCUCCUGGUGGCCCCGGCGGCUCUGGUCCUGCCUCGAGCUCCCCGUGCCAGCUGGGCUCUGGUGGGCUCGUUACAGAGCGGGGAGAAGGGAGGUUUAUAUAAUGCUCCUGGUGCCUGACUCAUUGUUGUGCCUGGCGUUAUAUAACCAGUGCCCAAUUCCCACUUUCCGCUGGCGGCGGCGCGCGUCGCUGCUCGGCCCAGCCGGCAUGCUCCGUCUACCUGCUGGGGUUCGCAGGGGGUUUUCCCAGCUGCACAAGUUGUGUUACCCAGCGAGGACGGUCACAUCGCGGACCGUGGAUGGAAAUCAAAGAUGUGAACCUCCCUCGUGCAGCGCGUUUGGGUCCUGCAGACCAGGAGUCCGGCGGGAGCCUUAACCGGGACGCGACUGGCAGCUGCGGUAGCGCACACGCUUUACCUCAGCCUUACCCGGGACGCGACUGGCAGAUGCGGUAGAGCACCGGCUUUCAUUCCUGCCUUUGCCACCAUCCCGCUCAGUAACCCUGGGUAAAUCACUCUGGAGCACGGGGCGAGGAAAGCUCCCUUGCACGUGUGACGUGUUAGUGGCUGCAGGCCCAGGCUGUGGCGAUGCCCCGCGGAGGACGCUGCCAAGGCGGGGACGUGCAGCUUGUUCCUCUGCCAUCCGUCCUGCGCUGGCCAUGUGGCGAGCUUAGCUGAUUCCUGCCUUUCCAGCCACUCCAGUUCCCCAGCUGUCAGCACAGGUGGCUCCAUGCUGUCCUGUGCUGAGCGCGCCUGCGGGGGAGUCGGCGAGGAGCAUGGUAAAAAGCCGGGCUGCCUCAGGCGAGGCACGGGAACAGCAUCCUGCCUGCUGCCGGAGGCAGGGGGUGCUGGCACCCCGGGUGUUUGGCCCAGAGGGGGCUUAGGCAAGGUCUUCCCUGUGCCCAGGCGUUUCACCGCAGAGCUUUAAUAGCCGCUUCGAUCCGGGCACUGUCUCACCAGCUGCUGGAGUGUGGGCCUGGGAGCAGCAGUCCUGGGUCCUGUUGACUCCUGACGGGAGCUCAUGCCGUGAGCGUGGGCUCUUUAGAGCAGUGGGUCCCCCCGGUUGUCCUCCCUUUCCCUUUCUGGCCUGUUGGAUAUUUCCCUUCCCGCAGACGGGUCUCCCGGGAGAGGCCAGGUUUGGCUUGGGCACCUGCAAAGUGCCCUGGGACAAAAGGCGACCGGCCCCGGCAGGGGAGGUGGCAGCCUCCUGUGGCUUUCUGGCUGUGCCCGUUCAGCGUUAUGACUUCGGAGCAAACCCCCGUCCUCGGGCAUUAACGGGAGCAGCCCAAGCUGGCACCGGGCUGGGCUCAAAAGCACGGUGGGAGCAGCGACCUGUCUCCAUCCCGUCGCAGAGGCAGGCAGGGCUCCUCCAGCCUG
ensembl:lncRNA